rnacentral:rRNA from 1 species
UCGUGGAUUGAUUUGUCUGGUUAAUUCCGAUAACGAACGAGACCUUUCCUACUCGUUACUUGCUCAUGGGUUUAUCUCAUGGCACGCAAGUUCUUAGCGGGACUGCUGGCGUUUAGCCAGAGGAAGUUCGAGGCAAUAACA